rnacentral:rRNA from 1 species
UACGUAGGUGGCAAGCGUUGUCCGGAUUUAUUGGGUUUAAAGGGUGCGUAGGCGGCUUUGUAAGUCAGUGGUGAAAUAUGGCAGCUCAACUGUCAAGGUGCCAUUGAUACUGCAGAGCUUGAGUACAGAUGAGGCAGGCGGAAUUGACGGUGUAGCGGUGAAAUGCUUAGAUAUCGUCAAGAACACCUAUAGCGAAGGCACUUUACUGGGCUAUUACUAACACUGAGAGACGAAAGCUAGGGUAGCAAAUGGG